GCCUCCGGUGGAGGGCGGGGACCCUCGGAAGCCAGCUGGGUGACGAUCGCUUGUCUGCCUUGGCAGGCCCCUUGUGCAGUCUUUUCCCGGCGUGAGCGUGCAGGGAUUGAAAAGGAAUGCUUUUUGGUUCAGCAGAGAGCCACCACGCAGGAUGCACUGGGACCUGAGAACCGUCGGGCAGUCCCACGAGCUCUUUCAUGACCAGCUCCAACCGACAAGUACACGCCCCUUCUCGCACUCCACUAGCUAGUAAGCUGAGCUACAAGGUGUGCCAGGCACCCAGGACGCCGAUUCACCGCUUCAGACUGAAUUUUUCCACCACCUGGAUGAACAUAGCAGAAAGAACAUAGUGUUUUAGAGUCAGACACAAUAGGAAUCAGGCACUUUGGAAUCUUGGCUCUGCCACCUUUGAGCUAUCCCAAGAGCCCUCUUUCUUCCAUUCACUUACUUGUCUAGUCAAACACCCAUCAGACCUUUGCCAGGUGUCCAGCCUGGGCACUACGUUUCAGAAAAUGAUGCACAUAGAAUCCCUAACUGAAAGGAGAUCGCAGCUCAUUUGGUACAAAGUGUUCUGGAGUCCAGAAGUCCAAAAUCAAAGGCUGUGCUCUCUUAGAAGGCUCGAGGAGAGAAUCCUUCAAUGCCCCUUCCAGAUUCUGGUGGCUCCAGGUAACGGCAGAGUCCCAAAACACAUGAAGCAAGAACUGACAGAACUGGAGGGAGACAUCAAUCAAUAACAACAGUUGGAGAAUUCAAUACCCUGCUCUGAAUAAUGGAUAGAACAAUUAGGCAGAAGACCAACAAAGAAAGUGGAUAUUUGAACAACGUGAUAAGCCAAUUUGACCUAAUAAAUAUCUUUAUCUGUGAAACACCCUAGCUUUUAGCCUGGGUAAGGAGCUGGAGAGAUGUGAAAAUGUGGAAAGCAAGCCUAAAUCGCAGUGUGGCCUAUGCCUGAGAGCCAUCUUCAGUGCCCCCUUGUGGCUGUAUCUGGGAACCACAGACAGAAUCAUGGAACUGACCAUCUUCAGUCUCAAAGGGCUGCCCUCACCACUACACCCAAGGGCAGGUGGUCUUCGGGGGAAA
rnacentral:lncRNA from 1 species